AACUGACAAUAAAAAGGGAUAGAGACAGAACUAUUCAUUGCAUACGGCCACUAACUGAGCUGAGGAGACUUGUCUUUGUCGGCAGACCUUUACCUUGUGCAAGUGCAUCUAAGAAUUGGCCACACCCAUAGUAAUCUGCGGUUCCAAUAUGCGUCAGAGUGUUAAUACUUAUGGACAAUUAUGUUUAUGUUUGUGUUAUGAAUCUUUGCUCAUUAGAUUGCACAUCAAUUAAAAAGUUUUAUCAUAAUUAUUUAACCUUAUAAGA
rnacentral:misc_RNA from 1 species